rnacentral:rRNA from 1 species
UACGUAGGGGGCAAGCGUUGUCCGGAGUUACUGGGCGUAAAGCGCACGCAGGCGGUCUGUUAAGUUUGGAGUGACAGUUGGUGGCUUAACUGCCAAAGUGCUUCGAAAACUGAUCGACUUGAGGGCUUCAGAGGGACACGGAAUUCCGGGUGGAGUGGUGAAAUGCGUAGAGAUCCGGAGGAACACCGGUGGCGAAGGCGGUCUGCUGGGGUCGAACUGACGCUGAUGCGCGACAGCGUGGGGAGCAAACAGG